GACGAAGGAUGCAAGUGUUAUCCGGAAUCACUGGGCGUAAAGCGUCUGUAGGUGGUUUAAUAAGUCAACUGUUAAAUCUUGAGGCUCAACCUCAAAAUCGCAGUCGAAACUAUUAGGCUAGAGUAUAGUAGGGGUAAAGGGAAUUUCCAGUGGAGCGGUGAAAUGCGUAGAGAUUGGAAAGAACACCGAUGGCGAAGGCACUUUACUGGGCUAUUACUAACACUCAGAGACGAAAGCUAGGGUAGCAAAUGGG
rnacentral:rRNA from 1 species